CCUACGGGAGGCAGCAGGGGGGAAUAGUGCACAAUGGGGGAAACCCUGAUGCAGCGACGCCGCGUGAGUGAUGAAGGAUUUCGGUAUGUAAAGCUCUAUCAGCAGGGAAGAGAAUGACGGUACCUGACUAAGAAGAUCCGGCUAAAGACGUGCCAGCAGCCGCGGUAAUACGGAUGGAGCAAGCGUUCUCCGGAUUUACUGGGUGUAAAGGGAGCGCAGACGGCAGGGCAAGUCUGAUGUGAACGUCCGGGGCUCAACCCCGGGACUGCAUUGGAAACUGUCCGGCUAGAGUGCAGGAGAGGUAAGUGGCUUUCCUUGUGUAGCGGUUACAUGCGUAUCUAUUAGGAGGACCCCCAGUGGCGAAGGCGGCUUACUGGACUGUACCUGACGUUGAGGCUCG
rnacentral:rRNA from 1 species